GCAGUGGUAUCAGGGUACGAUUACGGAGAGGACGCCUGAGAAACGGCGACCAAGGCUAAGGCCUGCAGCAGGCGCGAAAAUUACCCAAUGAAGACACUUUGAGGUAGUGACGAAAAAUAACUAGGAGAGAGGCUUCGCCUUUUUCUAUAGGAAUGAGUUAGAUUUAAAAGAGCAAACGAGGAGCAAAUUGAGGGCAAGUCUGGUGCCAGCAGCCGCGGUAAUUCCAGCUCAAUUAGCGUAUUCUAGCGUUGUUGCAGUUAAAACGCCCGUAGUUGAAAGUAGAGUCACAGCGUCGAGGGGGCUGGUCUCCCGAGGCGGUUCGUGACUUUUUCUGCAAGAUGCUCGCUGUGGCACUUUACUGGGUCGCAGAGUGAGGUUUUGCUCGUUAACCGUGAAUAAUUCUAGUUGCUCCAGGCAGGCGUCUCGCUUGCAAGUUACAGCACGGGAUAAUGAAAGAUGCUCAGGCUGAUUUUGUUGGUUUUGUCAGUCAGAGAAUGAUAAAUAGGAACAGUUGGCGGUGAUCGUACUGUGCUGAGGAGAGGUGAAAUUUGAUGAUUCGCGCAAGACGAGCAACUGCGAAAGCAUUCACCGAGGAUGUUUUCGUUAAUCAAGGACGAAAGUAGGGGGAGCGAAGAUGAUCAGAGACCGUUGUAGUCCCUACCUUAAACUAUGCCGACUGAGGAUGAGAUUACGUUCUAACGACUUUUCUCGCACUCAUAGAGUAAUCUGGAGUGUUUGGGUUCUGGGGAGAGUACGGCCGCAAGACUGAAAUUUAAAGAAAUUGACGGAAGGGCACCACCAGGGGUGGAACCUGCGGCUCAAUUUGACACAACACGGGGAAACUUACGUGGUCAGGACAGGAGAAGGAUUGACAGAUUGAAGUUCUUUCAAGAUUUUUUGGGUGGUGGUGCAUGGCCGUUCUUAGUUAGUGAUGUGAAUUGUCUGCUUUAUUGCGAUAACUAGCGAGACCACUGCGACUUUGUACGACGACCGAGUGCGCAAGUGCUCGGCCGCCUCGUUAUAGUCGGACAGCGGCGGUCACGCCGAGGAAGUUGGUGGCGAUAACAGGUCUGUGAUGCCCUUAGACGUCCACGGCUGCACGCGCGUUACACUGAGGGGGUCAACAAGUUUCACUUGCGCGAAAGCACUGGUAAAUCUUUGAAACCCCCUCGUGCUAGGGAUCGAGAGCUGGAACGUUCUCGUGAACGAGGAAUCCCUUGUAUGCGCGAUUCAUCAAAUCGCACAGAAUACGUCCCUGCCCUUUGUACACACCGCCCGUCGCUGUUUCCGAUUGAAACUACUGGUGAGGUUGAUGGAGAUGGCGUGUCCCGGCGCAAGCUAGAAUCGUUGUCAAAGUCAAUCAAAUCAUUAGUUUUAGAGGAAGCAAAAGUCGUAACAAGGUU
rnacentral:rRNA from 1 species